rnacentral:rRNA from 1 species
CACGUAGGGGGCAAGCGUUGUCCGGAUUCAUUGGGCGUAAAGAGCUCGUAGGCGGUUCGAUAAGUCGGGUGUGAAACCUCCAGGCUCAACCUGGAGACGCCACCCGAUACUGUCGUGACUAGAGUCCAGUAGGGGAGCGUGGAAUUCCUGGUGUAGCGGUGAAAUGCGCAGAUAUCAGGAGGAACACCUGCGGUGUAGACGGCUUUCUGGACCAUUACUGACACUGAGACACGAAAGCGUGGGUAGCAAACAGG